UUCCUUCUACAUCUGCUAUAAGAGUUACAUCUUCAGCACCUACUAUAACUAUUUCAUGUGUUCAACCUUCUGCUGUUCCAUGUGUUCAACCUUCUGCUGAGCUAACCUAUCAAGACUACCUAUUAUAUAGGUCCCAGCAUCCUGGACCCACCAGCAAUAAUUCAAUUAAGCAAUGG